rnacentral:rRNA from 1 species
AUUGAACGCUGGCGGCAGGCCUAACACAUGCAAGUCGAGCGGAUGAAGGGAGCUUGCUCCUGGAUUCAGCGGCGGACGGGUGAGUAAUGCCUAGGAAUCUGCCUGGUAGUGGGGGAUAACGUCCGGAAACGGGCGCUAAUACCGCAUACGUCCUGAGGGAGAAAGUGGGGGAUCUUCGGACCUCACGCUAUCAGAUGAGCCUAGGUCGGAUUAGCUAGUUGGUGGGGUAAAGGCCUACCAAGGCGACGAUCCGUAACUAGUCUGAGAGGAUGAUCAGUCACACUGGAACUGAGACACGGUCCAGACUCCUACGGGAGGCAGCAGUGGGGAAUAUUGGACAAUGGGCGAAAGCCUGAUCCAGCCAUGCCGCGUGUGUGAAGAAGGUCUUCGGAUCGUAAAGCACUUUAAGUUGGGAGGAAGGGCAGUAAGUUAAUACCUUGCUGUUUUGACGUUACCAACAGAAUAAGCACCGGCUAACUUCGUG